UACGAAGGGGGCUAGCGUUGCUCGGAAUCACUGGGCGUAAAGGGUGCGUAGGCGGGUCUUUAAGUCAGGGGUGAAAUCCUGGAGCUCAACUCCAGAACUGCCUUUGAUACUGAGGAUCUUGAGUUCGGGAGAGGUGAGUGGAACUGCGAGUGUAGAGGUGAAAUUCGUAGAUAUUCGCAAGAACACCAGUGGCGAAGGCGGCUCACUGGCCCGAUACUGACGCUGAGGCACGAAAACGUGGGGAGCAAACAGG
rnacentral:rRNA from 1 species